UACAGAGGUCCCAAGCGUUGUUCGGAUUCAUUGGGCGUAAAGGGUGCGUAGGUGGCGCCGUAAGGCAGGGGUGAAAUUUCGGAGCUUAACUCCGAAACUGCAUUUGAUACUGCGGUGCUUGAGGACUGGAGAGGAGACUGGAAUUUACGGUGUAGCAGUGAAAUGCGUAGAGAUCGUAAGGAAGACCAGUGGCGAAGGCGGGUCUCUGGCCAGUUCCUGACACUGAGGCACGAAGGCCAGGGGAGCAAACGGG
rnacentral:rRNA from 1 species